UACGAAGGGGGCGAGCGUUGUUCGGAUUUACUGGGCGUAAAGGGCGCGCAGGCGGCGAUUUUUGUCAGGCGUGAAAGCCCCGGGCUCAACCUGGGAACUGCGUUUGAUACGGGCUAGCUAGAGUUCGGUAGGGGAGACUGGAAUUCCUGGUGUAGCGGUGAAAUGCGCAGAUAUCAGGAGGAACACCGGUGGCGAAGGCGGGUCUCUGGGCCGAUACUGACGCUGAGGAGCGAAAGCGUGGGGAGCGAACAGG
rnacentral:rRNA from 1 species